rnacentral:misc_RNA from 1 species
UCCGUAGGUGAACCUGCGGAAGGAUCAUUAUCGAGUUAGGGUCCCUCGUGGCCCGACCUCCCAACCCCUUGUUUAUUAUACCUUUGUUGCUUCGGCGGACCCGCCUUAACUGGCCGCCGGGGGACCGUCGAAAGGCGUCCCCUGGCCAGCGUCCGUCGGUGGCCCUUAAACUUCUGUUAAACUGUGCCUUAAUUCUAAGUAAAAUUUGAAAUAAAAAGCAAAAACUUUCAACAACGGAUCUCUUGGUUCUGGCAUCGAUGAAGAACGCAGCGAAAUGCGAUAAGUAAUGCGAAUUGCAGAAUUCCAGUGAGUCAUCGAAUCUUUGAACGCACAUUGCGCCCUUUGGUAUUCCGAAGGGCAUGCCUGUUCGAGCGUCAUUAUCACCCCUCAAGCCCCGUGCUUGGUGUUGGACGGCCUGGCUGGGCGCACUGCCCGGCCCCUCCUAAAGACAAUGACGGCGGUCUGUGGAUCCCCCGGUACACUGAGCUUCUUUACCGAGCACGUACUGGACGAAAAGGGCGCCCGGACGACGGUCUAAAACCCCCAUUUCUUAAAGGUUGACCUCGGAUCAGGUAGGGAUACGCGCUGAACUUAAGCAUAUCAAUAAGCGCAGGAAAAGAAACCAACAGGGAUUGCCUCAGUAACGGCGAGUGAAGCGGCAACAGCUCAAAUUUGAAAUCUGGCCCCUCGGGGUCCGAGUUGUAAUUUGUAGAGGAUGUUUCGGGCACCGCCCUGGCCUAAAUUUCUUGGAACAGAAUGUCAAAGAGGGUGAGAAUCCCGUCUUGGGCCGGCGGUAGGGCCUAUGUGAAACUCCUUCGACGAGUCGAGUUGUUUGGGAAUGCAGCUCAAAAUGGGUGGUAAAUUUCAUCUAAAGCUAAAUAUUGGCCAGAGACCGAUAGCGCACAAGUAGAGUGAUCGAAAGAUGAAAAGCACUUUGAAAAGAGAGUUAAACAGUAUGUGAAAUUGUUGAAAGGGAAGCGCUUGCAACCAGACUUGAGCGCGGUGGUUCCCCCUGGCUUCUGCCCGGGCUACUCCGCCGCGUCCAGGCCAACAUCGGUUCUGGGGGCCGGUCAAAGGCCCCGGCAAUGUAUCUACCCCCGGGUAGACUUAUAGGCCGGGGUGUCAUGCGGCCUCCUGGGACCGAGGAACGCG